rnacentral:rRNA from 2 species
GGACUACAGGGGUUUCUAAUCCCGUUUGCUCCCCUGGCUUUCGCACCUCAGCGUCAGUAACCAGCCAGUGCAUCGCUUUCGCCGCCGGAGUUCCUUCCGAUAUCAACGCAUUUCACCGCUCCACCGGAAAUUCCAUGCACCCCUCUGGUCCUCAAGCAUCGCAGUAUCGGACGCAGUUCCUCGGUUAGGCCGAGGGAUUUCACAUCCGACUUACGACACCGCCUACGUGCGCUUUAUGCCCAGUGAUUCCGAACAACGCUCGCCACCUUCGUCUUACCGCGGCUGCUGGCAC